rnacentral:rRNA from 1 species
GUGGAUUAGAUACCCUGGUAGUCCACACUGUAAACGAUGAAUGCUAGGUGUAGGGGGUAUCGACCCCUUCUGUGCCGGAGUAAACACAAUAAGCAUUCCGCCUGGGGAGUACGGCCGCAAGGUUGAAACUCAAAGGAAUUGACGGGGGCCCGCACAAGCAGCGGAGCAUGUGGUUUAAUUCGAAGCAACGCGAAGAACCUUACCAGGUCUUGACAUCCAAUAAAACUUGUAGAGAUACAUCGUGCCUUCGGGCGUAUUGAGACAGGUGGUGCAUGGCUGUCGUCAGCU